rnacentral:rRNA from 1 species
AGUGAACGCUGGCGGUAUGCCUAACACAUGCAAGUCGAACGGCAGCACAGUAAGCGCUUGCUCUUACGGGUGGCGAGUGGCGGACGGGUGACGCAUACAUCGGAUUCUACUUUUUCGUGGGGGAUAUCGUAGGGACACUUACGCUACUACCGCAUAUGACCUACGGCUUAAAGCAGUAGAUCUUCGCAGCUUUCCCGAUUCUAUGAGACGGUGCCGGAUUAGCUAGUUGGCUGGGUAACGGCUCACCAAGGCGACGAUGCGUAGCUGGUCUGAGAGGAUGAUCGGCCACACUGGAACUGAGACACGGUCCAGACUCCUACGGGAGGCAGCAGUAGGGAAUCUUCGGCAAUGGGCGAAAGCCUGACGCAGCCACGCCGCGUGAGUGAUGAAGGCCUUCGGGUUGUAAAGCUCUUUUAUUGGGAAAGAAAAGAUGCGGGUGAAUACACGGCUGUUUUGACGGUACCCAAAGAGAAAGCACCGGCUAACUACGUG